rnacentral:rRNA from 1 species
UACGUAGGCAGUGAGCGUUGUUCGGAAUUACUGGGCGUAAAGAGUGUGUAGGCGGUGCUCUAAGUUCGGUGUGAAAUCUCCUGGCUCAACUGGGAGGGUGCGCCGGAAACUGGAGUGCUUGAGCGUGGGAGAGGAAAGCGGAAUUCCUGGUGUAGCGGUGAAAUGCGUAGAUAUCAGGAGGAACACCGGUGGCGAAGGCGGGUCUCUGGGCCGAUACUGACACUGAGAAGCGAAAGCGUGGGGAGCGAACAGG